GUCCCCAUAGUUCAACGGAUAGAACAGCAGCCUUCUAAGCUGUAAAUGCAGGUUCGAUUCCUGCUGGGGGCA
rnacentral:tRNA from 1 species